rnacentral:rRNA from 1 species
UACGUAGGGGGAAAGCGUUGUCCGGAUUUAUUGGGGGUAAAGAGCGGGUAGGCGGUUUGGUAGGUCCGUGGGGAAAACUCGAGGCUCAACCUCGAGACGCCGAUGGAAACCAUCAGACUAGAGUCCGGAAGAGGAGAGUGGAAUUCCUGGUGUAGCGGUGAAAUGCGCAGAUAUCAGGAAGAACACCCGUGGCUAAGGCGGCUCUCUAGUACGGUACUGACGCUGAGACGCGAAAGCGUGGGGAGCGAACAGG